AGCGAACGCUGGCGGCAGGCUUAACACAUGCAAGUCGAACGCCAUCUUCGGAUGGAGUGGCAGACGGGUGAGUAACGCGUGGGAACGUACCCUUUGGUUCGGAAUAUUCUCGGGAAACUGAGAGCAAUACCGGAUAAGCCCUACGGGGGAAAGAUUUAUCGCCAAAGGAGCGGCCCGCGUCAGAUUAGGUAGUUGGUGGGGUAAAGGCCUACCAAGCCUACGAUCUGUAGCUGGUCUGAGAGGAUGAUCAGCCACACUGGGACUGAGACACGGCCCAGACUCCUACGGGAGGCAGCAGUGGGGGAAUCUUGGACAAUGGGCGCAAGCCUGAUCCAGCCAUGCCGCGUGGAUGAUGAAGGCCUUAGGGUUGUAAAAUCCUUUCAACGGGGACGAUAAUGACGGUACCCGUAGAAGAAGCCCGGCUAACUCGUG
rnacentral:rRNA from 1 species